UACGAAGGGGGCUAGCGUUACUCGGAUUGACUGGGCGUAAAGGGCGCGUAGGCGGCUUGUACAGUCAGACGUGAAAUUCCUGGGCUCAACCUGGGGGCUGCGUUUGAUACGUGCGGACUUGAGUGCGGAAGAGGGUCGUGGAAUUCCCAGUGUAGAGGUGAAAUUCGUAGAUAUUGGGAAGAACACCGGUGGCGAAGGCGGCUCACUGGCCCGGUACUGACGCUGAGGCGCGAAAGCGUGGGGAGCAAACAGG
rnacentral:rRNA from 1 species